UGGGGAAUAUUGCGCAAUGGGCGAAAGCCUGACGCAGCGACGCCGCGUGGGGGAUGACGGCCUUCGGGUUGUAAACCUCUUUCAGCAGGGACGAAGCGAGAGUGACGGUACCUGCAGAAGAAGCACCGGCCAACUACGUGCCAGCAGCCGCGGUAAUACGUAGGGUGCAAGCGUUGUCCGGAAUUAUUGGGCGUAAAGAGCUCGUAGGCGGUUUGUUGCGUCGGCUGUGAAAACCUGAGGCUCAACCUCAGGCCUGCAGUCGAUACGAGCAGACUAGAGUGUUGCAGGGGAGACUGGAAUUCCUGGUGUAGCGGUGAAAUGCGCAGAUAUCAGGAGGAACACCGGUGGCGAAGGCGGGUCUCUGGGCAACAACUGACGCUGAGGAGCGAAAGCGUGGGGAGCGAACAGGAUUAGAUACCCUGGUAGUCCACGCCGUAAACGUUGGGCGCUAGGUGUGGGGCUCAUUCCACGAGUUCCGUGCCGCAGCUAACGCAUUAAGCGCCCCGCCUGGGGAGUACGGCCGCAAGGCUAAAACUUAAAGGAAUUGACGGGGUCAUAGCUGUUUCCU
rnacentral:rRNA from 1 species